CCUACGGGGGGCAGCAGUGACGAAUAUUGGUCAAUGGACGAGAGUCUGAACCAGCCAAGUAGCGUGAAGGAUGACUGCCCUAUGGGUUGUAAACUUCUUUUAUAAAGGAAUAAAACGAGGCACGUGUGCCUUUUUGCAUGUACUUUAUGAAUAAGGAUCGGCUAACUCCGUGCCAGCAGCCGCGGUAAUACGGAGGAUCCGAGCGUUAUCCGGAUUUAUUGGGUUGAAAGGGAGCGUAGAUGGGUUGUUAAGUCAGUUGUGAAAGUUUGCGGCUCAACCGUAAAAUUGCAAUUGAUACUGGCAGUCGUGAGUACAGUUGAGGUAGGCGGAAUUCGUGGUGUAGCGGUGAAAUGCUUAGAUAUCACGAAGAACCCCGAUUGCGAAGGCAGCUUACUAAACUGUGACUGACAUUGAUGCUCGAAAGUGUGGGUAUCAAACAGGAUUAGAUACCCCGGUAGUC
rnacentral:rRNA from 1 species